CUGAUCUCAAAUCAGGCGGGACUACCCGCUGAACUUAA
rnacentral:rRNA from 1 species